rnacentral:rRNA from 1 species
GAUGAACGCUGGCGGCGUGCCUAAUACAUGCAAGUCGAGCGAACGGACGAGAAGCUUGCUUCUCUGAUGUUAGCGGCGGACGGGUGAGUAACACGUGGAUAACCUACCUAUAAGACUGGGAUAACUUCGGGAAACCGGAGCUAAUACCGGAUAAUAUUUUGAGCCGCAUGGUUCAAAAGUGAAAGACGGUCUUGCUGUCACUUAUAGAUGGAUCCGCGCUGCAUUAGCUAGUUGGUAAGGUAACGGCUUACCAAGGCAACGAUGCAUAGCCGACCUGAGAGGGUGAUCGGCCACACUGGAACUGAGACACGGUCCAGACUCCUACGGGAGGCAGCAGUAGGGAAUCUUCCGCAAUGGGCGAAAGCCUGACGGAGCAACGCCGCGUGAGUGAUGAAGGUCUUCGGAUCGUAAAACUCUGUUAUUAGGGAAGAACAUAUGUGUAAGUAACUGUGCACAUCUUGACGGUACCUAAUCAGAAAGCCACGGCUAACUACGUGCCAGCAGCCGCGGUAAUACGUAGGUGGCAAGCGUUAUCCGGAAUUAUUGGGCGUAAAGCGCGCGUAGGCGGUUUUUUAAGUCUGAUGUGAAAGCCCACGGCUCAACCGUGGAGGGUCAUUGGAAACUGGAAAACUUGAGUGCAGAAGAGGAAAGUGGAAUUCCAUGUGUAGCGGUGAAAUGCGCAGAGAUAUGGAGGAACACCAGUGGCGAAGGCGACUUUCUGGUCUGUAACUGACGCUGAUGUGCGAAAGCGUGGGGAUCAAACAGGAUUAGAUACCCUGGUAGUCCACGCCGUAAACGAUGAGUGCUAAGUGUUAGGGGGUUUCCGCCCCUUAGUGCUGCAGCUAACGCAUUAAGCACUCCGCCUGGGGAGUACGACCGCAAGGUUGAAACUCAAAGGAAUUGACGGGGACCCGCACAAGCGGUGGAGCAUGUGGUUUAAUUCGAAGCAACGCGAAGAACCUUACCAAAUCUUGACAUCCUUUGACAACUCUAGAGAUAGAGCCUUCCCCUUCGGGGGACAAAGUGACAGGUGGUGCAUGGUUGUCGUCAGCUCGUGUCGUGAGAUGUUGGGUUAAGUCCCGCAACGAGCGCAACCCUUAAGCUUAGUUGCCAUCAUUAAGUUGGGCACUCUAAGUUGACUGCCGGUGACAAACCGGAGGAAGGUGGGGAUGACGUCAAAUCAUCAUGCCCCUUAUGAUUUGGGCUACACACGUGCUACAAUGGACAAUACAAAGGGCAGCGAAACCGCGAGGUCAAGCAAAUCCCAUAAAGUUGUUCUCAGUCCGGAUUGUAGUCUGCAACUCGACUACAUGAAGCUGGAAUCGCUAGUAAUCGUAGAUCAGCAUGCUACGGUGAAUACGUUCCCGGGUCU